rnacentral:rRNA from 1 species
AUUGAACGCUGGCGGAAUGCUUUACACAUGCAAGUCGAACGGUAGAGGGGGCAACCCCUCGAGAGUGGCGAACGGGUGAGUAAUAUAUCGGAACGUGCCCAGUCGUGGGGGAUAACGUAGCGAAAGUUACGCUAAUACCGCAUACGAUCUAAGGAUGAAAGCGGGGGAUCGCAAGACCUCGCGCGAUUGGAGCGGCCGAUAUCAGAUUAGGUAGUUGGUGGGGUAAAGGCUCACCAAGCCAACGAUCUGUAGCUGGUCUGAGAGGACGACCAGCCGCACUGGAACCGAGACACGGUCCAGACUCCUACGGGAGGCAGCAGUGGGGAAUUUUGGACAAUGGACGCAAGUCUGAUCCUGCCAUUCCGCGUGCUGGAUGAAGGCCCUCGGGUUGUAAACUGCUUUUGUACGGCACGAAAAGGUCUCUCUUAAUACGGGGGACUCAUGACGGUACCGUAAGAAUAAGCACCGGCUAACUACGUGCCAGCAGCAGCCGCCGUAA